rnacentral:lncRNA from 1 species
AUUAGAAAUAGAAAUUAUAAUGUUGUGUUUCAGGGUGUAUGUAAGGUAUUAAUUUUAGCUUGUUAACCAAUGAGUGCACUUUUCUUUUUCCUGCAACAACUUGCUCUCUCAGCUGGACUUCUUUCUAUCUAACCAGAUACUUUCAAGAUCUGGGAGCUUCAGGUUCCUUGCUCCCUUGGCUUUGCCGUUGAUAACUUCCUGUCCAAUCCUACCAAAGUCUGGAACUGGAACAUCCAAGGGUUGCCCUUAGACGCCUUCUCUACUGAGAAUGGCAUCAUCAUCAAGCGAGGCCAUAGGAAGAAGUGUUUAAACUAUAAACUGAGGAGGAGAAAAUAUCUAGGAAAAGAGAAGAAAGUUGGCAAAACCAUGGUCUCCUUCUUCCUGAAUUUGUAACUUGGCCUACAAAGAAAGCAUCAGUCCUACUACACAGGAAGAGUCAACACUCGGAGGAGGCCUUCUGCACUUUGUCCUCUCCUUCUUUUCACUCCUCAUAAUGGGAAAGAAAGUACCCUACAGGUUCCAGUCAUAGACAAAGAAGCAUCAGCUUCACAUAGACCAUUGAAACAGCUUUCAGAGGAUUCUGCUUCUCUGAUCAAAUUCUGAAUGAUACAGACUCUGGCAGUUACGGUUGUUGAAAAUUUCAAAGAUGGUGUCAUCGUGAAGAACAUCUGGCUCUUGAUCCCAGUGCUUGGUCC